rnacentral:rRNA from 1 species
UACGUAGGGACCAAGCGUUGUCCGGAUUUAUUGGGCGUAAAGAGCGUGUAGGCGGCUAGGUAGGUCCGUUGUGAAAACUCGAGGCUCAACCUCGAGACGUCGAUGGAAACCAUCUAGCUAGAGUCCGGAAGAGGAGAGUGGAAUUCCUGGUGUAGCGGUGAAAUGCGCAGAUAUCAGGAAGAACACCCGUGGCGAAGGCGGCUCUCUGGUACGUGACUGACGCUGAGACGCGAAAGCGUGGGGAGCAAACAGG